AAAAAAUAAUAUAUAAAUCAAUAAAAGAAAAAUCAAAAUUAAAUUGAAUUAAAAAUGAUUAAAAUGUAAGAUAAAAAUAAAUUAAAAUUGCAGAAUAAUAUUAAUUAUUAUUUUGUAAAAUAUUAAAAUGGAUAAAAAAAUCAAGAUUUAAUAUCAACAUAAUAAAAAUAAAUUUAAAAAAUCAGAAAAUAAAAGCAAUUUAUAAAAAGAAAUUAAAAAAAAUAAUAAUAAAAUGAAAAAGGGGGUGCAAUAGUGAAACAGGAGGU
rnacentral:lncRNA from 1 species